CAAUACAAAAACCGUUUCUGAAUUCCAUUUUCAGGAAAAUGAGAAAUUCGUGUAAAUUAUAUGAUAUUUCACUGAAAAAAUUCCUAUCUUCGACGUCAAAAAAUGAUAGAUUCGAUGUGGAAUGACCCUUAUUGGAAAACAGAAGCGUGUUUCUUCAUUGUUUCAGUAUAUGCAAAUGAGUCUGAGACAUACAGGAGACGCUACCAUCUGAAACUUCUAGAUGCAGUUCGAAACUGAAAAGACUGAGGUUUUACAUUUUCUUCCUGUGAUUCUUAAUUUUCUUUAUUCGAUUUAAUUUAGUCAGCUUUUCGUAACAGCCUACACCUACCUAGAAUUAUAACUAAGCAUACAGGUAAAUAAUACAUAGAUGAUAGCACUAGAUAAUGAAAAAAAAAUAAAUAAAUAGAUAAAAAUGUAUUAACGAAUUAAAUGCUUCAGAUAGAACAUUUUAAUUUUAUAAAAGGAGCGAAAUAAGACAUUUCUAUCUAGCAAUGACUUGAAAUCAUAUUAUUGAGAUAUGUAUAAUUUUAUGUGCUAGACUAGAUUGGACUUGUGUGCGAAUAUCAGUGUGAGGAAGUAUGUGUGUGCGCGGCGUCUCGAAAACAAAGGAAUGUAAACUGUCCAGUUAACAAUCUGUUAUGGGAGAAAGUGCUGAGACGCGUGCAAAUGUGUAUCGAUGAAUAUCUUUGGAAUCGUUUAUCGAAUAAAUAUAUAACUAUUCUAAUAUAAAUUCAAAGUGUAUAUUUAGUGUUCCUAUACUAUUAUUUCGGCUAUUAAGAUCCAAUAUUCUCAACACAGAUUUAACUAAUAUUUUUAAAUAUACGUACAAUUUAUACACAAAAAUUGUUAAGAAAUUAGUGGUUUCAACAUAUGUACGUGGUAUUACAAUAAAACGUCCUAUCGAUAUUUAAAGAGAGAAUUCAAGAAUGGGAUGUAUGGAAAUACCUGGAGCCCUUUCCAACGCACUCCGAAUAGCGUUAAUCACGGCCAAUGUAAGGAACCAAGAGGGUGGCAGUAGGGCAGCAGAAAAAUCGGAAACCACCGAAAUUACUACGGAAAUGGAUGAAGUUAAAAAGAUAAGAAAGUCGGAAAUUAUCCCAAGGAUACGUCUGUUAGUUUCCAAUUGAGGGUACUUUUGCAACUGUUUCGCAGAAGGCAAUGUUGGUAGUAACUGCUAGUAAUAAAUGGAUGUUCGUGAGAUUACAGAAAUUAGGUAAUAAUUGUUAUCCGAAGAAAAUCAUGUUGAGUUUC
rnacentral:lncRNA from 1 species